GUUCUGGAACUUUCAUUCUCGCCCCCGCUCUCCGAACGGCCCGGGGGAAAGGGAGGGUGGGGCCGAGAGAGCCCGCGCGCGGGAGUCCUCAGUCACCCCCAGCGGGGGUCGGGAGCGUCCGCCUCUGCGCAUGCGCUAGCCCGAGCGCACAUGCGGGAGGGGACGAAAGGAGGAGAAGGCAGAGGGGCGGGCGAAGUUGGAACCAACCAAUGACAGCAGCUCUAGCCGCGCUCUGUAUCCGUGCGGAAUCGGGGGAGGAAGAGCGCCGCGCCUGGAGGGCGGGGCCGGAGCCGGCGGCCCGGGAGAGAAGACGGAAGUGGAGCGAGGACAAAAUGGCCGCGAAGUGAAUGAAAAUCCCGUUGAAUGAGAGUAGCUAUCCAUGCAGUGCUUUCAACACCACCAUACUUUGGCACAUAUUACCGUGCACUCGCUGAUGUAUCUGCCUCAUAGGAAGAGACAAGUUUAGUCAUUCUCCUGUUCCCAGUAUUGAACCCAGUGUCAGACAUACAGUGCAUGCAAGCGCAUGGUGACCACCUCAAAGUACUGUUUUCCUGUGGCCUCGGCAUCCACAAGCCUUCUCCUUUUGUCAUCAUUAUUUGUCGUUUCCUGACACGCUAGCAAUUCAUCCAGCUAGCUUUGAGGACAGUGUUCUUUUUACCCAACUCUAAGUCUGCAGGACUGGUUCCAAACCCUCUUCUUAACCUUUCAUCAUCCUAGGCACUAAGAGAGCACAGAGUCUACCUAGGACCCACGUAAUCCACUACCCUCUCCUGAAGCAGACACCAUGGAAAUCACAAUGAUGCAAAGAGGCAGAACUUGCCAGAGGUCAAUGACUAGAUUGGACUGUGGAUGCUGUCAAGCCAUCUUUCCCUUUCCCAAGUUCUGUUAAAUGUUUGCUACUUCCAAUAUGCCUAAAAGGGAAAAUUAAAGAAUAAUUCAAGGGGCCUAGGGACUGAAUUCCCUACCACAAAACCAUAUGGGCUUGUCCUACAUUAAAACUCCGCUAAAAAUUCAUGGUUUGUGGCCACGAUCCUUCCAUUCCUUCUACCCUCCAACCUGUCUUCUGCGCUGGCUUGCUCUUACAUCGCAGACUGAAGAGGGAGCAGUUGAGCCUGAGUUCUGGGAAAUUCCUAGGGUUUGCAGGUAGGGAGGUUUCUAGUAGUUACCACCUGCCUCCCCAAGGCCAGGAGCCUCCCCUCCAGCUUCAUCACUUUCACCCAACCCCAGGGCUCCACGCGCUUCGGAGGGAUUGCUAUAAAUGGUCAUCAAGGGGAAGCGGCCAGAAUGCCAAGAGCUACAAGCCUGACAGAGCUUGUGUAUCAGCCUGACAGCUUCAAUAGCCCAGAGUCUACAUGGAAUCCCAAACAGCCCUCGUUUCUUCCUCCCCAACCACAGGCCGCCUGCCUGCCUCCCUGGCCUUGUUUAAACAAGAUGAGAGCAGGCUGUGUUUGGACUAGCAGGCUGGUGGCCUUUCCCCAGUGCUGGAGAGCAGGUCAGCGUCACUGCUCAGCCUGAAUGUGAAGUGUGCUCCUGCUUUUGGGUCGUCCUGACUUGUAGAAACUGGGGACUGUAGGAGUUUCAUCAUCUCAGAAGUCUGCUGCCAAAGGUCAGAAAGAUGGAGUGGAAAGCCAGGCUGGUUUGAUUGCAGAGACUCUGCCAUGCCUGCGUUCCGUGCCACCUCUACCAGAGUGGCAAGAGAUGACCACGGAGUAUAGCCCAGCUCUGAAGAAGUCACCUCCUUACUCUGGGCUUGCAGUAUGAGUUGAAAUUAUUGACCUCCAAAGAUCCUUCUAAUGUAACCUGCUGUGACUUGAAGUUGAUGAUCUCGGGGGAAGGGAGAGCGCCUUCCUAGCGGAGAAAUUUGCCUCCUUCCUUGUCCAAGAGAAGGCUCUUUGCAGAUGGAGGAGGAUUGCAUUCCAGGAGAAGCAAAUGAAGAGCCUGGGCUCUCAUCCAGCCCAGGGAAGAAAGAUGGACAGACUACCUGGGGUGAAAGAUGCAUCAGAAAGCAGAAUGCCUGCUCUCAAACUGACUGAGGGACGCCAGUCUGCCAAGGUCAGCGAAGGAAGUAGGACUGAAGAAACCUUUUCCAAAGAAUCUGAGCUGAAAAUGCUGUCAGAGCUUGGAAAUCUGCCAUCCUAACUUCCUCUUCCCACUUUAUCCACUGCCCUCCUCUGGUCCACUACGUGAGACAUGGGCUUUUUGCUCAGAGCAAGCUGCAGAGGGAGGGUCAUCUAUCUAGCGAGGGCAGUGCUGUGGCACCACACCCCGAAGCCGGGACCAGGGCACACCAGCUUCAGCCAGAAAGCACCCCAGGCUAGUCACCCACACAGGCUCUCCCCAUGUACAUCGGGAUUCAACUGGCUUCGUUUUGUGGCUUUUCUCUGAAAGCCCUCUUUUCCUUCCAGACUUGGAAACAAUUGCAGUAGUUGGGCUAGUUACUUUGGAAUGAGACGGGGCUGUUCUUGGGUGUCUGAGAACCUCUGGAGCUGCUUUUCUUCUUGCCAAUUCAAUUGUCCUGCAGUGCCCCUGUGAAGGAGAUAGGGCAGCUGAGCAGCUGUCCCUGCCCAAUAGUCAGUACCCUUCCCAACUCUAGCCUUUUCCUGUCAGAAUUCUCCUCCUCCAAGAAGCCCUCUGAGAUUGGAUCCAGCAGCAGUUUCUUCUUGUCCUUCCCCCUCUCCACAGAAUUUACAAGGUUCACAUACUGCUAAUCAUGUUCUCAUUUACAUUUUUCUGAGGUUGGUGCUGUGUCUCAGGUUUCUACUUUUUGGUUUUCCUUCUCUAAUUUGUAUAUUCCAUUAGACUGGGAGUCCUUUAAGAAGAAAAAACCUCAAGUGUCCUUAUCCCCCUCAGUCCCAAGUUUUGCAGUAUCCAGUCUGGGCUUCGCAGGGGGCUAUGCUGCCUCCAUGCAACAGAUUCACUUUGCCUUGAAGUCUCCAGUAUUGCAGCUAUGAGAGGGACGGUGGGGAAAUCUCUGGUCUUCAGAGACCCUGGACGGCCAUAAGGAGGACAGCAGAACAGAGCCGGUCCCCCAAAGGACAAAAUGUCUAUUUUUGCACCUGAAAAUGAGCUAUGGGACCCCUGCUGGGGAAUAGCCUCCCAACACUGGGCUCUGGGGAGAAGCUGCGUCCGAAGGCCCAGGAAGAGGUGCAAAGAGGGAGAGAUUUUGCUUUGGCUGAGAGGGCCUCCGGGACUCCCAGAGGAAUCCCAGGCCUCAUAUAUAUUUAUGUGAACUUAAGAUGCUAAUGAACGUUGUGGAGCCAAGAGCCCUGCUGGGCUCCGUGAGCAAUCGGCCCCACUCUUAACACAGUCUUCUUUGUCUGCAGGGCUUUAGGUUCAAAUUGCAGAUCUGGCUUUGGAAGUACAGCUGACAUGGAAACCUGCCCAGGCCUAUAGCUGAAUCACAGUGGGCUCUGGGAGACAGCGGAGCUUCCCACCCUGUUUCCUCGGACAAUACACUGAAGCCAAGGGCUGGCUGACGUCACCUUGUCCACCUUCCAGUCUCCAAGGAGGACAGUGUCCAACUCCUUUUACAGUCGGAGGUUUUUACCCUAUUCUGAAGGCAUCUCCACUAAUAAUGUAUGAGAAUUCCUGGAAGGAUGUUCUGAAAGGGCUACAGUCUUCCCCUUCACUGUUUUGAUGACACCUUUCCAGGGACAUGUCACCCCUUGCACAUUUGGGUACCAACCAGGAGCUUCCCUCUCCUCUUUAUCAUUUCCCCAAAGUCAAACCUCUCUUUUCCCAGGCUUCCCCAGAAUAAUGAUCCGUAAGAGCAGAUAUAGUUUGCUUUAACCUCUUAGAAAGAACUCAUUUCUGGGACAGGAUGGUAGGACUAGGAUCCUCCUAGAGUGGGCCACAUGUCACUCAGGCUGGGAAGAUCAGUGCUGGCGUUAGUCAGAGCAGGAGCAACUGUCCAUGAUCCAGGACCGCUUUUCCUAAGGCUCGUGCCACCUCAUAGCCUGGAUUUCUGAGAGAGACCCUGGUUGUGUCCUGUUAUUCCUCAAGUAUUCUCGUGCUAGUCAGACCACAAACUUGCUUAUAUCUGUAAAGGACAGUCUUCCAUGAACGUAUGCACGGGCACACGUAGAUAUGGGCUGACACGUCUGUUUGUGCAUGCCAGAUGGAAGUCUGUGCCUAAUAACCACAAGGGAAUGAUUGCACAGUGCCUGGCUCAUUACAAACAUUUUAAUGCGUAUGAUCUCAUCUUGGUGUGGCUAGGGAAAACAGCACAGGCUUUGCAACAAGAUAUAUACAGUACUAGGUUGUGACUUUGGCCAAGUUUUGAAUCUCUAAGAGCCUUACUUUUCUGCUUUGCAAAAUGGAAGUUAGUAUCCUCAUUUUGCAGAUAAGGAAACUGAGGCUCAGGGCAAGUGACUUACCUAAGGUCACAUAGCUGACAGACUAGGGAGGUAUCCAGGGCUCCCCUGUCCAUCAGAUUUUUUUUAAAUUCCAGUGCUGGGAGUCUAAACUUCUAUGAACCUGGAGCUUUCCCCCUGAUGGAGAGGCCAGGACUUGUCCUUCAGAGUCAGUUCUUCCUACACUUACUUAAAUGCUGCAUCUACUAUAAUAUGCUUCCUCAUAUUUCCCUCCAAAUUUAGUUCUUUGGAAAUAGGAGGGAGUUUGAGAACAAUUUUUUUUGCAUACUAUGCAUAAUAGGAAGUUCCAACUGUGUUCUCCUUUCCUAUUCAGGGAAGCAAGAUGGUUAAGAGGAAGGGAUGACACAAGCAAAGAUUGUCUGGACUUAAAUCACAUGCUGAAUCUGGCUCCUUUUCCAGCUGGACUCUAAAGCGCUAUCUCCUGAAAUGUAAGAUUUCACAUCUAGGCCUGACAUUGGGUCUCUUUGAGCUGAUUUGUUAAGCAUUGAAAAAAUAAAUAACAAUGCCUCCCACUUGCUUCCUCCUUCUGAAGAUGUGUCUGGUCUCUGGGGAGACUUUGUACUGGAUGACCUUGCUGGCCUGUCCCUCUUCUCAAGAAGGCCCUUCUGUCCAGAGGCAGCAUCCUAAGGUCCUUUAUAUUCUCUUUCUAUUUCAGGCCCCCAUGAAUUUUCUUUAAUCUAGACAUUAGGAAAUACUUAAGAUUGUUUUUUAAAUGAUCAUUUAAGGAUUAUUUAUUUCAUAGCCCGUUACUCAACCCAGCAUUCUUUCCCUUGCCUUAACCCAUAUGGUUUGCGUUCACUGUGAAACAUGAUAGUGGGAUGUCAAGCUUUUGAAAGUACAGGCAGGGAAAAAGGGGAAAGGCUCUAUCUUGCAAAAGUGGUAGCUUUUCCUUCAUCUUUCAUGACCCAAAAAUGUAGUUGGAAGCAUUUUAGCUUUGGCUGGAUUAUGAUUUACUUGGGCCAUUGCAUUUGUCGAUAAAGACUGCAGCCUUAUGAGUCUCAGUUGCAACUGGAAAUAGAACUCAGUGGGUCCUAAUAUCAGAGAAAACUUCAGGGGCCGGCCCCGUGGCCGAGUGGUUAAGUUCGCACGCUCCGCUUCAGCGGCCUAGU